rnacentral:rRNA from 1 species
CAGAACGAACGCUGGCGGCGCGUCUUAAGCAUGCAAGUCGGACGGCAAGGGUUGUGCUUGCACAACUCCUAGAGUGGCGGACUGGUGAGUAACGCGUGGGUGACCUGCCCUCGAGAUGGGGAUAGCCAUUAGAAAUAGUGGAUAAUACCGAAUACGCUCAUGACCCUGUGGGAUAUGAGGAAAACAGGCUACGGCCUGGCUCGAGGAUGGGCCCGCGUCCCAUUAGCUAGUUGGUGAGGUAACGGCCCACCAAGGCGACGAUGGGUAUCCGGCCUGAGAGGGUGUACGGACACAUUGGGACUGAGAUACGGCCCAAACUCCUACGGGAGGCAGCAGCUAAGAAUAUUCCGCAAUGGACGAAAGUCUGACGGAGCGACGCCGCGUGGAUGAAGAAAGGCCGGAAGGUUGUAAAAUCCUUUUGCUGAUGAAGAAUAAGUGUGGUAGGGAAUGACCGCAUGAUGACAUUAGUCGGUGAAUAAGCCCCGGCUAACUACGUGCCAGCCGCCGC